CCACUUCCAGUCUGGCACAUCUAACGGUGUCAACAACCCUGCAGGCUUCUGAUGCUCAACCUUAGACUUCUGACAAGUCAAACAUGCAUAGACAAACUGAGCAACAUCACGUUUCAACCCAGACCACCAAAACAAUUUCUUCAAAUCAUGAUACAUUUUUGUAGCUCCCGGAUGAAUACUUAAGCUACUCUUGUGACUUUCUUCCAGAAUCAACUUUUUCAAAUCAUCAUUAUCAGGAAUACAAAUUCUUCCUCUGAACCUCAACAUACCCUGAUCAUCAACCUUGA
rnacentral:lncRNA from 1 species